UCAUCCAACUCGUGACACCUGUUCGUACAUUAAAAACCAUUUGAAGGUCAGUUUAUGUAAAAACGUAAUUAUACGGAUUAAUCUAACCAUUUAAAAACACUUAUGAGAAGUGAAAAUGUAUAAAUAUUGUAGUAUUUGUAGUAAGGUCUCGACAAUCAGGCUAGUUUGCUUUGAAAUAUUGUUGCGCAUGUACAGAUUGAAGCGGUUGCAGCUGCAGGACGCCGUUACUUUUAUAAGUGAACUCUUGACCAGUGCUUGAUGGACAAACCUUUCUUGUUCUUUUGAGAGUUCCAGGCUCAAUCAGCCAGGAAGUGUUAUGGAGCUCCUCGUUAGUAUAGUGGUAAGUAUCCCCGCCUGUCACGCGGGAGACCGGGG